rnacentral:rRNA from 1 species
AGAUCAAGCUACAAAGGGCGCACGGUGAAUGCCCUGGCACUAGGAGCCGAUGAAGGACGUGAUAAGCUGCGAUAAGCUACAUGUAGGCGCACACAGCCUGUGAUAUGUAGAUUUCCGAAUGGGGAAACCCAUCUAGUUAUGCUAGAUACUGUAUACCGAAUACAUAGGUAUAUGGAGGUACACCUGGGGAACUGAAACAUCUAAGUACCCAGAGGAAGAGAAAGAAAAUUCGAUUCCCUAAGUAGCGGCGAGCGAAAGGGGAAGAGCCCAAACCAGGAACUUGUUCCUGGGGUUGCGGAUAGAUCAUAACGCUUUGAUUUCUUUAGUUGAAGAGAACUGGAAAGUUCCGUCGUAGAAGGUAAUAACCCUGUAGGCGAAAAGGAAAGAAAAGUAGAUCUACUCCAGAGUACCACGAGACACGUGAAACCUUGUGGGAAGCUGGGAGGACCAUCUCCCAAGGCUAAAUACUACCUAGUGACCGAUAGUGAAGCAGUACCGUGAGGGAAAGGUGAAAAGAACCCCGGAAGGGGAGUGAAAUAGAAUCUGAAACCGUGUGCCUACAAUCGGUCGGAGCACAUUAAAGUGUGACGGCGUACUUUUUGUAGAACGGGCCAGCGAGUUACGAUAUAUAGCGAGGUUAAGCACUUAUGGUG